CUCCUGCCUGCAACAGACAGAUUUAGUAUUACUUGUUUAUCGGACGGCACCUGGAUGGCAUUACCGAAGUGUAAAAAGCAAAGCACUUCUGGUGUGUGUGAGAUGGUUCCUGAGAGCAGAGAGUUCACAGAGUGUGGUGUGCCUCUGGAGAAACUGAAAACUC